rnacentral:rRNA from 1 species
UACGUAGGGCGCAAGCGUUGUCCGGAAUUAUUGGGCGUAAAGAGCUCGUAGGCGGUCUGUCACGUCGGCUGUGAAAACCCGGGGCUCAACCCCGGGCCUGCAGUCGAUACGGGCAGACUGGAGUCCGGCAGGGGAGACUGGAAUUCCCGGUGUAGCGGUGAAAUGCGCAGAUAUCGGGAGGAACACCGGUGGCGAAGGCGGGUCUCUGGGCCGGUACUGGACGCUGAGGAGCGAAAGCGUGGGGAGCGAACAGGG